rnacentral:rRNA from 1 species
GACGAACGCUGGCGGCGUGCUUAACACAUGCAAGUCGAACGGAAAGGCCCUGCUUUUGUGGGGUGCUCGAGUGGCGAACGGGUGAGUAACACGUGAGUAACCUGCCCUUGACUUUGGGAUAACUUCAGGAAACUGGGGCUAAUACCGGAUAGGAGCUCCUGCUGCAUGGUGGGGGUUGGAAAGUUUCGGCGGUUGGGGAUGGACUCGCGGCUUAUCAGCUUGUUGGUGGGGUAGUGGCUUACCAAGGCUUUGACGGGUAGCCGGCCUGAGAGGGUGACCGGCCACAUUGGGACUGAGAUACGGCCCAGACGCCAACGGGAGGCAGCAGUGGGGAAUAUGGCACAAUGGGCGGAAGCCUGAUGCAACAACGCCGCGUGCGGGAUGACGGCCUUCGGGUUGUAAACCGCUUUCGCCUGUGACGAAGCGUGAGUGACGGUAAUGGGUAAAGAAGCACCGGCUAACUACGUG